rnacentral:ncRNA from 1 species
CUGUGGUGGAUUCAGUCGUAACAAGGUUUCCGUAGGUGAACCUGCGGAAGGAUCAUUA